GGCCAUAUGACAGUGAAAUACCGGUUCCUUUACGAUCACCAAAGUUAAGCAACUUCGAGCCUGGUCAGUAAUUAGAUAGGUGACCGCUUGGGAAUUCCAAGUGCUGUAA